rnacentral:rRNA from 1 species
UACGGAGGUCCCGAGCGUUGUUCGGAUUCAUUGGGCGUAAAGGGUGCGUAGGCGGUUUUCUAAGUUUGAUGUGAAAUCCCGGGGCUUAACCCUGGAAUUGCAUUGAAUACUGGGAGACUAGAGUACUGGAGAGGAAACUGGAAUUUACGGUGUAGCAGUGAAAUGCGUAGAGAUCGUAAGGAAGACCAGUGGCGAAGGCGAGUUUCUGGACAGUUACUGACGCUGAGGCACGAAGGCCAGGGGAGCAAACGGG